UAUCCCUGCUUUCUACAUAUAAACAUUUCUUUCAAAGAUACUUCCAAACAACAACAGCAAAGAGAUGAGAUGUAGGUGGUUUGGAGUUAAGAUGAAGGUAGAAUCGACGGGUCCAAGAUGAAGGGGAUAACAUUGGUAUUCUGACUGGGAUUGAUGGCUACCUGUUUUACACACAAAUUUUGAGAUUUGUUUUGAGGGUGGUAAGUUGAUUUAUUCUUUUCUUUUUCCUUGUGCUACAACUUCUAGGUUAUUUGAGCAUAUUACAGUUUUUUUUUUUUUUUUUUUGGGUUAAAGAUUUUUGGGACUCUGUAAUAAACUCUUUGUAGAAUUCUUCUUUGUUGGUUCUUGAUAGAUAAAUAAAUAUUGUAUCUAUUUUUAGAGUUUUAUUUCUCUAUGCACACUUGUGUCUGGUUGAAUUCCUUUGUUUUCUUAUUUUAUUUUAUUUUUUUGGAUUUUUUUGUGUGUGUGGUUAUAUGCUUAUUUUAAUGAAGACCAAAAACUGGGGCAAAGUCUCACUCAAAUGGAUUGUGAUUCUGUGCAUUUUCAGCUUUGUACUUGGCACACUUUUCAGCAACAGGUUCUUUAAUUUUUUUCAAUUUUUUAUUUAUCUUAUGUUUUUUCUUCGUAUUUCCUCUUCAUAUUUCACAACUUCAGGAAGAAUUUUUGUUUUUCACUUCUUUAUUUCAAUUGAAGAAUUUUGUGGUUACUGUGACUUCAGAAGAACCUUUUUCCCUCAUUGGAGAAAUAGCUUGUUGUUGUUGAUUAGUUAUAUCGACUUAAUUAUCAAAUUACGCCGGAUAUUCUUUAAGCAUGUUAUGAUGUUAUAAGUAAUCUAAAUUACCUAGAUUACUCUUUAUCCUCUUGUGAUCGAUUGUCUUGCUUUGACAAGUGAUAGUUGUUCUAUGAUGUGAAUAGCUUAAAACGACUUCACUAUGUCUGGUUCCAUUUACCUUCUAUUUCCAUAGUUAUUUUUUCCUCAAUAAUCUAUUAUUAAUAUAACAAGAACUUCUAAAAUUGGAAGGAAAGUAUUGUGAAGAUCUCUUUUUUUUUUUCCUUGUUUAUCAUAUUCCUUGAAUGAGACAAAUUAAUGUUAUUUCUUUGACUACAGGACAGAAGCGUGCUCAUUCAAUCACUAUCAACGAAUCUUGAUUUUCCUAGAAACAAAGUAAGCAUGUGAAGUACAUCAAUAUGUUUUCCAAUUAAUGUUGUACCAUAUGGCAUGUUCAUAUUGGAUGAUGUGAUGAACUUCAUUCAACUUUGGCAACUAAGAAUGUUGUUUGAAUUUUUCGUCUUAUUAUUUAGAGGGUGUGCAAGUACAUUAAACAUCAGUUGUACCGUAACAUAAUCAAUUUAUUUGAUAUUUUAUACCAAGAAUCUGGUGCUUCUGUCUUUAUUGAUUUAAUUAAUACGUGCAAUAGUAGUAAUACUCAUGGGAAUUAAAGUAUUUUAAAAUUUUGAAUGUAUGAGAUAUUAUGGUUUUUUAGAUUGAAGCCAUAUGUAUAAGAAUAAACAAAGACACAGAAAAAUAGAAAAAGAAAAAACGGUAGCAUCAUUCAAAUUACCACAAAUUGUCAUAUUCUCUUUGUUUUGUUACAAAUUACAGUUGAGUUUGUGUUGUUGAAGCUGUUACCUUCUUUUGGGUGUUGUUUUUGGUUCAACAGCAGACAAAU
rnacentral:lncRNA from 1 species